rnacentral:rRNA from 1 species
GACGAACGCUGGCGGCGUGCUUAACACAUGCAAGUCGAACGGAAAGGCCCUGCUUUUGUGGGGUGCUCGAGUGGCGAACGGGUGAGUAACACGUGAGUAACCUGCCCUUGACUUUGGGAUAACUUCAGGAAACUGGGGCUAAUACCGGAUAGGAGCUCCUGCUGCAUGGUGGGGGUUGGAAAGUUUCGGCGGUUGGGGAUGGACUCGCGGCUUAUCAGCUUGUUGGUGGGGUAGUGGCUUACCAAGGCUUUGACGGGUAGCCGGCCUGAGAGGGUGGCCGGCCACAUUGGGCCUGAGAUACGGCCCAGACUCCUACGGGAGGCAGCAGUGGGGAAUAUUGCACAAUGGGCGGAAGCCUGAGGCAGCAACGCCGCGUGCGGGAUGACGGCCUUCGGGUUGUAAACCGCUUUCGCCUGUGACGAAGCGUGAGUGACGGUAAUGGGUAAAGAAGCACCGGCUAACUACGUG